GCGGGGCAGCCAUGGCGGCGCUGCGUGCCGCUCUGCUGGCGCCGCUGCUGGCGCUGUGCCGGGCCGGGCCGGGACCGGCGGCCUCAGCCCGCGUGGAAGUGGCCGUGUCGGGGCCGGGGGACGCGGCCGGGGUCGGCGACGGGACGGCGGCGGGGCCCGGCGGCUCCUACACGCUGCGCGGGGCCCUGCUGGGCGCGGCGGGAGGCGGGAGCGGGCCGGGCCGCGGGGCGCCGCGGGAAGAGGAGAUCGGGGGGCGGCUGGUGCUGGUGGGGGAUGCGGAGCCGGAGCUGGGUGCUGCUGACAGCUGGAUCGGGGUGGUGCCCGUGGGCGAGGAGCCGGCAGACAGCCCCCGCAGCGCCAAGGAGGAGUCCUUCACUGCUGCCGUGGUCAGCAAGAUGAAGCGAGCCCUGGUGCUGGGGGCCUCAGCCCUGCUCAUCCUGGCGCUGAACCAGAAUGCGAUCCGAGAGCUGGAUGUCUCCCAGCUCCUUGCCAAGCCCGUCAUCGUGAUCCAGUCGUCGGACAAUGUCACCAGGCUGCUGGGAGCACUGCUGCGAGGACUACGGGCUACAGCGAAGAUCACAUACCAGGCGGUGCUGCUGGAGAACCUGGGGGUGACACUCACCCUGUGGUCCACCUGUGGCCUGUCCCGAGGGGGCCUCUAUGGCGAGUGGCAGGGUGUCAUCUGCACCGGGGAGAACAGCUCACAGGUCCAGAAGUACCUGCAGCAGCUGUGGAACACCAUCCUGCUUGUUGCUCUGCUCCUCUGCACAGGGGUGAUCGUGCAGGCGCAGCGGCAGUCACGGCAAGGCCUGUCGGAGCGGGAUGCUGAGCUGGACCUGAAGCAGCACAUUCGGCGGCGGCUGUUGGCCCUGAAGACACGGCGGUACAAUCCUGGCAGGGCACUGCGGAGCCGGGCCUGUGAGAUAGAUAGCUGUGCUGUGUGCCUGGACCAGUUCAGCAAGAGCCAGUGGCUGCGAGUGCUGCCAUGUUCCCAUGAGUUUCACCGGGACUGUGUGGACCCCUGGCUCCUCCUGCAGCAGACCUGCCCACUCUGCAAGCAUAACAUCCUAGGGAACUGCUGUGGAGAGAGCUAGUCGGCCCAAUGGACGCGCUCCGGGGACAGAUGGACCCACGGGGCAGGCGUGGGGUGAGCUGUGCUCGGAGCUGGAGCAGGCUCAGCACAGCCUUGCCCUUUGCAGCACCAGGCAGUGCCUGGCUCUUAGGAGAGUGAAGACUUUGGGGGGUUCUCCCUGCUUGGUGUCGCUGCCGGGCCUUGCUGGUGGCUCUAUGCGAUCCUGUGCCAUCUCCACUGCCUUGGAGGCUCGGAGGUCUGUGGAGGGGAGAAGUGGAAGAGGUUGAAGGAGAGUAAGAAAUGGAAGCCCCCCCAGUGCUGUCCUCUCUGCUGCCACUCACCCUGCAGUCUCCCCUCCACGCUGACUGCUGAGCUGAGUCCACAGCUGGGUCUGUGGGAUGUGCUGGGGAAGAGAGAGGAGGUGAAACUCCCAUGUUUGGCUCCUUGAUUGCUUAUCUCGGCUUUUGCCAUGGGUGGAUUGCACUGCUAAGCAGGUAGUGGCGAAACGGAGGCACAACAGCUGGGAACCAGCCCUGGGCACCUCAGCAAAGCAGCUCACUGCUGCUGGUUCAACCAGACCGAUCUCUGGAGGGACACCACAAAACCAGGGAGCUGGGCUUCCUUCUGCUCAGCCCCACGAGAAGCAGAUCCGGAGCCCCAGGCAAUGCUGCACAAGGAGCACCACAGCCUUCCCCUCCUGGGAGUCUUUUCUCUUUUACCUCCUGUAAGGGUACGGCCAAGGAACCGAUCCCCAGGGGUUGUGGGACAGGGUUUGCAGGGUGGCCCUGGGGCAUGCAGUAUACCCCAUCCUGCCAACCCCCCAGCUCACCUGCAGCACACCCUGCUGAGCAGCUGCCUUCACCUUGGCCAGUGCAGCCCUGAGUCGCAUGUUCUCCUGCUCCAGCACACCAAUCCUGAUGUGGUUGGCCUGCAGCUGCUUCUCCAUGUCCUCCGUGAUGUUCCCAGUGCCUGCAAAUGAAACAUGGUGCUUCGUGUCAAGCCCGAGCUCAACACACUACCCAAACUUGCACAGAGGUGCUGGCAGCAGAGCCUGUCCCUGCUCCCUGGGACCACUUGCUCUUCUGUCCUCCCCCUUGAGCAAGGCGGUAGCUGCUGGAAGUGAACCCUCCUGAACUGGAGAACAACAGCAUGACCCUGGAAGCGGCAGCUGGGAACCCAAUCUGUCAUUUGAAGCAGCAAGGACAAAUGCAGCCAUGUCCAAGCCCUUGCCCUGCUUUUGUGCCAGAUGUGGGACACACAGCACCCACAUAAAGAAUCAGGUUAAGAUGGUAGCGGCUUAUUGCCUCACAGGGACUGAGCCCUUCCUGGCUGUAACUGACUCAUGUCAGGAGGACAGGCUGUUAUACAAGUGACACUAAUGUGCCCAGGGCUGACAGGAUCCCAUGUGAGCUCCAGGAGACCCCAGAGGUACAAGCCUGCUGCUGCAAAAGCAGGCACUGCUGCCUGCUGCCCUGUCCCUUACUCUCAAACUGUGUCUCAAUGGGAAUGUGGAGCUCAGGGAAGAACACCAGGAGUUUCUCCCGCUCCUUCAGAUCCUUUGCCUGCUCCUCCAGCCUGGAGACAUUCUCCUGUAGCUUAGAGACGGACUGCUCCAGGCUCAGCUUCUCCUGCUGCAAUGUGUCCAGCAGCUCCUGUGGGGCCAGAACAGACAGGCUCUGCUCGGCCUCCUUCCUCUGCUGUGCUUGGAUCUCCUUCUCCGCCUGAAGCAGCCGAGCAAAGUCCUUCACCUGUUUCCGCAGCUCAUCCUUCUCCUUCUUUGACUCUGCCAGCUCAGACUUCAGAGAGUUGACCUGCUCCAGCAGCGAGUGGAGCUGUUUGCUGAUGCAUGAGAGGUUUUUGCUUUGCUCCGAGACCCAGUAGCUCACAUCAGUUGCAGAGAGGGUCCUUCUUCCCUCAGUGCCCUCCACCAGCUCCUGGAACCUGCUCAGAGCCGAAGGGAUGUUCUGGCUCUGGCAGAUACUGGUGAUGGCUUUGCUGAUCUCUUGAAGGCCAGCCUGGGCACUGGCACAGGUAUCACAGGGUGCUGGAGGCUCUGCUGCCUGUAUGGGGAUGCUGUGGCUGCGCUCAGCAGUGCUGCAGGCAGGUCUGGGCUGGGAGCUGCCUGAGGUGUUGCUGGCAGCCUGCCAUGGGGAGCUGGGCUGGGCAGCACCUGGGGGUGUGCUUGGCUCUGAAGUAGAUGGCAAGCAGUCCUUCAAGCAUUCCUUUGCAGUUCUCUCAGCCUCAGGGGUGGAUUGUAAUGCAGCGAUAUCCUUCCUGCAAGACUUCUUCUGGUGAAAAGAGCACAGGACACAAUCAUAGAGCCCAGACUGAACCUCAUCAUCAGCAAACAAUUCAGGAGAGCUGAAUGCAGAGGUAUGAAGGAUGGGGACAGGACAUCAGUGCAGCCAAGAAGCUAAAAGAUCAGAGCAUGCAUUCUCAGAGCUUGCUGGAGGACAGAGCUACCAAGUGCUCAGGGUUCACUAUUUAUUGUGUUACAGUGAAAGCAGGUGGCCUGUAAGCAAAAUGAUGCUUACACACAGCAUGGGUUACCAUUGGUUCUGCCUGACACCAGGUAACUGGAUUUCUCAAGCUCCCCAAAAAGGUAGCUUUUUGGUCACUGCUUACCUAGCAGAGCUGUGGUUUCACAAAGCUGCUGCAGCAGAACCUCCUCCCUGGCUCUUGUUUUUGUUAUUUUCCCUUCUGUCACACCUCACUGUACUGCCUCCUGGUUAUGUGAGAUGAAUUAUUCUGACACUAUGCCAAGAGAGGCAUCAUUUUGAAAAUAAAUGUAGGGGGGAGGCAUGAUA